GCCUUUGAUCUUGGUUUACAACUUCAAGGGAGACCUGGCUUCCUGGAAGCUUCUGUUAACUCCUUCCCAUCUCACCUACAAAUGCCUCGCUCUCUGCAUGGCCAAAUGCUCACUCAUCACAAUCCUUAUAAAUGUGGUACUUCUCCCCUUGCCAGGCCCCAACGGAAUCCUCAGCAUAGUGCUUGGCAGCUAGAGUGGGUGGGACAGAGUCCCAUCUGGACUGAUGUCAUCUGAAUUUGUAAUGGAUUUCAGUGUACUUCAGUGGUUUUAAUUGCUUCAAACUUUCAGAAAAUUAGGCCUAUAGGAUUGGUAUCCAUUUUUUUUUAAUUUUUUUUUUUUUAAUGUUUAUUUUUGAAAGAGAGCAUGAGCAGAGAAGGGGCAGAGAAAGACAGAGACACAGAAUUUGAAGUAGGCUCCAGGCUCUGAGCUGUCAGCACAGAGCCCAGUGUGGGACUCAAACUCAUGAGCUAUGAGAUUAUGCCCUGAGCCAGUCAGACGCUUAUCUAACUGAGCCACUCAGGUGCCCCUCCAUUCUCUCAUUUUUAGAUGUUUAUUCACACACUAGUGAAAUAUUAGCCUCUAAUAGUAAAAGAUGUUUCCCCAUGCUGAAGUAAAUAACCUAACAAUUUUUGCUUUUGGUCCUGGCUCUCCAUUUCAACUUGCAGUCUGUUCUUCCUUAUGAUUGUCUCUAAACUUGUAAUACAACUCAAGUACUGCAUUCCUAAAAGGCAUUGAGUAAAAUGAGUAGUGUCUUGGUCACAUGCUACAACUCAUUUUUAAGACCACUCUUCUAGGUCUUAACAUUUCCCUGAUGUUGACAUUUUAUAUAGGAAAAAUUAUAACCUAAAAUUCAAUUCAACAUUUUAAACAAAAUGGUAUGAGAUGUAAGAUUUGGGUUAUAAAUCAAUCCAGUGAAGACCAGAACCAAGUUUUAAAAAGCGCUGGAGCAUUAGCGGCAUAUAAAGCAACCAAGUUGGUCAGAAAACAGCCUUUUGGAAAUUGGGAACUGAGGACAGUUUAACUAUUUUUCAGUAACCUAACAAAAAAAAAAAAAAAUAGAAACCAAAACAUCAGAAGAACAAACUAGAAUCAAGACCCAUGGAAUGACAAGGGUCAAAGGAGGAGUCCUGUUACCUCUGAAUAAACUUGUCCACUUUGCCUCGUAUCACCAAUGUGUGCAGACUAGAAAUGCAGAUUAGGGGCUCAAAACAUCUGAAGACUAGCGAUAAGAUGUACUCUUAUGUUUUAAAACUGCAGGGUUUGAUUUUGUGGGUGAUUAGAAUGCUGAAAUGGAUUAGAAAAUCACAGUACACCACUGCAGUAGAGUUGUUUUGUGAUAAAUUUUACAGUGCAGUAGACGUGUAGAUACACAUGUAGAAGUCUGUCUGGUCAUGAUGUAAAUUAUUUUCCUGCUGGUAAUAAAGUUUAAAAACCUUGAAAUAAGAUAUUUCUGAGAUAGCCGUCAGUAGGAGCAAGGAAGUUCAGGGCAAGUUUAUAGACUCCUUUAGAUCAGGUCUUUAGAGGCAGAGUGGCAAUUUACCAAAGGAAAGUUUUUGAUUUGGUUGAUGAGAGGCAAUGUGUUAAUAGAAUGGCCAAAAUAUGAGGUGCACAGGGUCUGGGUAGUGAAGGAAUGUCCAGCCAGGCCCAGGAAGCAGCCUAACUGUAAAAACACUGUCCAUCUGAUCCACACAGCUAUGGACUUAGACAAUUUGGGACUACUACAGAUCAAGCCCAAGAAUUUACAGAGCUCAGCAGGAUUUCAACCUCUUAAACCAAGAAUGUCCAAGAGGAAUCAAGGUCUUGAUAGAAUUUAUUCCCAGGGAAACCUAAACUUUGCCACCAGUGACAGUGGGAUUUGUUCUUACAACAAUGGCACUUCUCCGCUGGCUCUUGCCUCAUAACCCCUCCAGAACUCCUUCCUCUUCCUAAAGAUCUGGGGCAGUGUCCAUACAGCUAGCUUGAACUUAGAAGGCAGUGAAACCACAUCACCUACCCAUACGCAAUGGUAGAGUGGCCAAGUAAACCCUCUUUCUCUCCAUCCCCCAUCCAUUCUUAGGUUCUCCUGCUGACCUCAGGACCCCUAAAUGCAUCAGGGGGGCCAAACCAGGGAAGCUGAGCUUUGGUUCAGGGAAAUGGUGACCACUGGACCUGAUGAAGAGUGAUUUGCCUGAUAAUCCUUUUUAUUUCCCAUUUAUGUAUAACUCAAAUUAUCUGUUCUUCUGCACUGAGUUCAAGCAAGUUACUUUAAAACUGAUGGGACAACUCAUUUGGGACUUGGAGGCUGCUUUUUUCCAGAACCUGUUAAGAGAGCAGAGGAUUUAUAUUAAUGCUAAGCAAUAGACCAUGUGCCUUAAAAAGAUGGUCUAAAACUGCAUUUUAAUUUGUUACAUUAUUUUGAAACUAAAAAACAAUUUUAAAGCAAAGACCAGAGUUUUAAUGUACCUGGAGAAAGGAGUUUAAAAUGCUGAGGGAUGCUAUCCUAUCAUUCUCAAGAGGGAGGCAAUAAGGUAACCCAAUAUAAGGCUAAAAAUUGAUAAUGGAAGACAAAUAAUGAUUUGCUUCACAUGAUCAAGUCCAAAGUGGCAGAGAUUUAGAGUUUAAAUGAAACAUGCUAAAGUGAGUGGCCCUGCCCUCUGCCCAGGGCUAUAUCCACCUUCUCCCAAUCUUGUUCCUUUGGAUUCUACCUCCUUGAAGAACUGAGAACCCAAGUAAAGGCCCUUUUCACUUGAAGCAUUGCCGAGUCUUACUAGGCACAAGAAGAAAAUCCAGGCCAGGCCCAGAGUCCCCUUUCAACAUACUGUUUUCCAAUAUGCAGUGGAGGUAAGGAGGUUUGCUAAUGGAACUACUAAAAUUUGAAAGCCAGUGGUCUUAUUUUGAUUUGCGGACCUAAAAUACACCAGUCAGUAUUCCUAGGAGUUCAGAUAAUCCCAUCUGAUGAGUUAUUUCUGGGCUCCUAGAGAAAUUUAGAUUUCCUUGUAAUUGGUAGUAUUUUACCUACUGUAUAAAUUACAAACACCUUUACUAUAACAAACAGGUAAGUCAGCUUUACAAGUUAAUGUAUUUUGCAAUUUCAUGCCAUUCCAAAAGGGAAGGAAGGCUGAAUUUGAGAACAGCCUCAUUAUCCUCUGGUAAAAAUCAGCUCACCGUAACUGCAGAAAUUAAGAAUCUGCUUAGGAGGAACAUAAUGAAUAGCAUUAUCAACCGAGGCCAAAAUGGGACCAAAAUAUCCGCAAACCAAAGGGCAAGUGCCAUGCAAACUUAAUGUAACAAUCCAAAUUCAGGGUCUGGCAUUCACCCACAGAAAUAUAAAAAUUCAUCUCUCCUUCCUCCUCUAUGAUUUGCAGAUACUUUGCUCAGAUAAAAGUGCCUCUUCAUGGGGCGCCUGGGUGGCGCAGUCGGUUAAGCGUCCGACUUCAGCCAGGU